rnacentral:rRNA from 1 species
AUGGGGGCUGGUCUCUUUGGAUAUCUUGACAAAACCAUAGCCGAACUAGAGAAAACCCUAGUCAGUAAAACCUCUGAGGGCAAAGAUCAGGUCGUCCCCAACCCUGCUUAUGCUCCUUGGUUGAUCCAGGAUCAACAAAUCAUCGCCUACCUACUCCGCAAUCUCUCCAAGGAGGUGCUAGUUCAGGUUGCCUCCCUAGAUACAUCUCAUGCCAUCUGGACAGCCCUUGCCAAUAUGUUUUCUGCCCAGUCCCGUUCCAAAGCAAAUCAUGUUCGCAUCUCUCUCACCACCGCCCAGAAAGGAACCCAAUCUGCCGCCACAUACUUUGGUCACAUGCGA